AUCUUUGGUUUCCUAGCUGUGUGAGUGUCUCUGAAUCAUAAAGCUGGAGAACCGAAUGU
rnacentral:pre_miRNA from 15 species